rnacentral:sRNA from 1 species
UGAGGCAAGUAAAGAUUAUAUUCCACAAAAACGUGACUGGCU